rnacentral:tRNA from 1 species
GGAGAGCUGGCAGAGCGGCCGAAUGCGGCGGUCUUGAAAACCGUUGAGGAGAAAUCCUCCGGGGGUUCGAAUCCCUCGCUCUCCGCCA